CUGCAGGGCUGUGGGGAGCCUGAACCAAAGCUGCUGCUCCACCUGUCUCAGCGGGUUUGGGGCUCACCCACGGUCGGUAAUGCUUUUGGAUCCUCCGAACUUUAUCCCAUCUGAACACUCUCUGAAGCAGCUCGUCCAGCUCAGACGUGCUUCGUCCCUUUACACUGUGUGCAAAGACUGAGAUCUGAAUGAGAACGUUUGAAUCUGUUUUCGUGGACCCAUCAAGCCUUCAAAGGGAGACUGAGAGCAGCAAAGGGCUGGAACUGAAAGCCACAUCAGAAAUUCUUCCAGUGGGACUGCACUUGUCAGCUGACAGAACAGGAAUUUUAAGAGGAGGAGCUGGUUCCAAGCCCAAGGGAGCUGUUGAGUGGAGCAGUGGUGA
rnacentral:lncRNA from 12 species